AUACUUACCUGGGAGGGGAGAUACCAUGAUCACGAAGGUGGUUUUCCCAGGGCGGGGCUUAUCCAUUGCACUCCGGAUGUGCUGACCCCUGCGAUUUCCCCCAAAAGAAAGAUAAUUAUCAUAUGAUCUCCCUGAUAUGAGGAAGUUGAGAGGCAA
ensembl:snRNA U1 U1 spliceosomal RNA